ACUCCUACGGGAGGCAGCAGUGGGGAAUAUUGCACAAUGGGGGAAACCCUGAUGCAGCCAUGCCGCGUGUGUGAAGAAGGCCUUGGGUUGUAAAGCACUUUCAGUAGGGAGGAAGGUAGUGUAGUUAACACCUGCAUUAUUUGACGUUACCUACAGAAGAAGCACCGGCUAACUCCGUGCCAGCAGCCGCGGUAAGUACGGAGGGUGCGAGCGUUAAUCGGUAAUUACGUGGGCGUAAAGCGCAUGCAGGCGGCCUGUUAAGUCAGAUGUGAAACGCCCGGGGCUUAACCUCGGAAUUGCAUUUGAAACUGGCAGGCUAGAGUCUUGUAGAGGGGUAGUAAUUCGUAGGUGUAGCGGUAGAAAUGCGUAGAGAUCGUGAAGGAAUACCGAGUGGCGAACGGCGGCCCCCGUGGACAAAGACUGACGCUCAGAUGCGAAAGCGUGGGAGCAAACAGGAUUAGAUACCCCGUGGUAGCGA
rnacentral:rRNA from 1 species